AAAAAGUAAACAGCAAAGAUGUCGGCCGACCGAUUGCUGCGGCAAUCGUCUUUGGAAAAUCUAAUCGAAAGUGAUUCGGGUGGCGACCAAGAAAUGUUUAACCCAGUAAGUGUUGAAACUAGUGGUGAUGCUGAAGAUUUAAGGCAUGAGAUAGAUGAACAUGUGCAAAGGAAGAAGAUUUUAUCACUGCCCCCUAGUAAGAAGUACCAUUUGUUUAUAUCGUACAGCGCCGAAGACAGAGAAGAUGCAAACAAAAUUUGUGAGCACAUGGAAAAGAGAUUUCAAAUGAAGUGUAUGAAUUUUGAACGCGAUUUCGUUCCCGGUAAAAGCAUCGACGAAAAUAUUUCAUAUGAAAUGCAGAGAAGUGUGAAAGUGUUAUUAAUUCUGAGUCCAAAUUAUACGCAAAGUCAUUGGUGCGUGACGGAAGCACGUGAAGCAUGCCAGUUGUCUUUCAAAGAUUUGUGUGACGUAAGCGUUAUUCCAUUACUUCUUCGGCCUUUGGAAAAACAACUACCUCCUUUUUUGAAGUCAUUCGUUUAUAUUGAUGCUCAGAAAGAACUUGAUGUCCCGGCAAAAAUUUAUGAUGCUUAUUUGAAUCCAGGUUCUAUCGAUCCCCUUCACAAAGAUCGCAUUGGAUCUUCUCAGCAUAAAUCCAGUGGGGCUUUCCUUUGUCAGAAAUUUGCGUCACAAACGAAGAUUUUAAAGCACGGGUUCGCUUACAGGUUUCCCCAGCUGGACAAUCAUGAAAUGGAAAAAUUCGCCACAUUUGAUCUGGAACCUUUGGAGUGCGCCACACAUUACUUCGAUCUUAUUAAAGAUCUGAACUCCCGGAGGCUUCUCCGAAACUAUCCAUUGCUGGUUACAAAGUGGCGCUUCCUGUUGCUGUUAUUAUUGACUUUAACCAUUUGCUGUUUCUUUGGUGGAAUGAAUUUUGUUGCAUUACAAAUGGAAUAUCCCGCAGUCUCUUAUGAAAAUCCCCUCACCACCGAGGACUUAUUUCCCCUUGCCAUAGUGAACAUUGUUGGUAUCACUUUAUUGCUUCUAUUGAUCCUUUGUUUCUUCUGCUGUGUGCCAUUUUGUAGGAAGAAGAUGUCCGCAUCGAUCCAUUCAGUGCUUCUUAAGCACAACAGAAAGUUCUACAAGAAAAGUAAAUGCUUGGUUUUCUUCGACGACACAUAUGUUUUAAAACCAUCAGUAUCCUUUUUAUGCACAAUUUCCAUAGCACUUACUGUUUGAAUGGUCCUAAAGCAGAGAAAAUAAGUGAAGUCAUCAGUUUAAAAAAUUACCCAUAGAGUGAGCCCUGUGCAUCUCUAGCUGUGGAAAGGAUACAACAUCCUCAAAUUUAAAGCUGUAAAACUGUUGUCGUUUGUCGCCAAAUUUAUUUAAUAUUUUACAUAUUCUUGGGGGUCAAUGCUUUUUUUAAGGGGAAGGGGGUUGUCGCGGCGGAUAGAUCUGAUUUAAACUCAUUUUAAAAUUGUACACAUGCGAUGUUGAAACGAACUUUAUCGCUGAGAUUAUUUCACGACUUAGUUUUGGUCAGUGGUUUUAAUCAAAGAUAAAGAUUAUAUACAAAAAAACCCAAAAAAACUAACCUUAUCCAUCUACAUUAUCAAAGAUAUCACUUGUAGCUACAUGCACAUUUGCAUGCACCAAUUUAAUACAAAAAUGAAUGUUUCAUUUUUAAAGAAUAAUAGGAAAUGAAAACAAGAAAUGUUUUGUUGAUGUUCUCGUAAGCAAACAUAUUUAGGAUUUUCCUUGUCAUAAUCAUAAGCUAAAUAUAUUUAAGUAUGACGUCACUGAAUGUCAGAUUUUUUUGUAGAAAUAUAUUUGUCUCCUGCUGGCCAAAAAGAGGCCAACAAUGACGGAAGAUGAAAUACAGACAACAGCAGACGACAUGAUGUAUCAGAAGCUGAGAGACCUACAGAUGACCAACGCUUUGAUCCAUUGGACGACAAUUCCAGAGAGCACGAGCAGACGACACGUCACGAGGAACAACAGGGCCUGUCUGUGUGAACUAGUGGAAGAAAGUAUCAACAUAAGCGGCCCAGGACCGGCAUCCACCUGCCAAAUCAUAGAAGUAUGAAGCAUGGAUAUAGAGAACAUGCUGAUGGAAACACGAUUGAAGUAUGAGACAUGAGUAUAGAGAAGGUGCUUGGAGAAAACUUUUGAGUUGUUAAGCAUGAGUAUACAGUAGAGAUCAUGAUAAUACAGAAAGGAAUAAAAUUAUGAAGUUCGUAAUGAUGGAGAAUAAAGAAAAAGAAUUGAAUUUUGAAGUAUGUACAUAAAAACAAUAUGCUGUUGGAAAAAGAAUUGAAUUAUAAAGUGUUGAUAUAGGAAAUAUACUGACAGAAAAACAAAUGAAAUACAUUGUAUGGAUCACAGUUUGGACAUAUAUGAUUUUGUAUCACAAACUCAUAUACAAGUACAUGUAUAUAUACGAGUAUUGUUAUUCAAGGUUUUAUAAAUGUCACCACUGAUGAUAUGCUGAUAGUCAAAUGAUAUUAUACAUGUUAAUGGUUGUACAUGUACUUACAAUCUAUAUAUGCUUCACAAUUUUACCACUUUCAUUGAUUCAUGAUAUUAUUUCUAACGUAAAUUGGAAGUAUUUUACCUCUCAAAACUACUGCGGCAUUUAUUGGGAAGUACUCUAGUCAUUUGUGAGAAAUGCAUUUUUUUAAGUUUAAAGUAAAUACAUUUACAUUAUGUUUUUUUUUUAAUUACCUAAUCUAUAUUUGUUGUUCAUUUUAUUCUUCGAGUACGUUUUUGUAUUUUUUCAACAUGCUUGUAAUUAUUAUUGCCAAAGCGAAUAAUCUGAUUUGCAUAUUACCUCAGUGUUCAUACAUAUAUAUUCUAAUAAAAAUAAUCAUAAUC
rnacentral:misc_RNA from 1 species